rnacentral:lncRNA from 1 species
AUAUAUAACAUUUAACAAAGGAGUAGGUCCAGUAAGACCUCUUUUUGGCCCCAAAAUAUAACAGUUUUACAAAAUUAUUAAAAUGUAAACUUUUAGUUAUUCAUUAGACAGUAGAAUGCUUCUGCUACAUAAAUAUGGGCUGUUUUUGACAAUACAAUGCACAUAUAUCGGGUACUAGCACCAUUAAGUCAUGCUAAAUUACUAAAAUCUUCACAAUUCCAGCUUUUUAGUUAAAUUUUAUACGGUUUUUGUGUUAAACGAAAGUGGCCGCA